GAGUUAGGUGGGGAGCGUUACGGUGGAGAGAGAGGGAGAAUCCCACGGGAGUUCGCUCCAGAGGUCUAGGGAAGCGGCGGUCGGAGGCUAGAGGAGGGGCCGAGGGUCGCGGCGGGCGGGGGUAGAGGAGGGGGCUAGGGCCGCGGUGGGCGGGGGUGGGAAAGGGAGUGAGGGCCGCGGCGGGGCGCUAGGUAACGUAGUGUCACCCUGCUCAGUACCGUUACCACUGCCGCCGGCUGUACCACAGGGCCGGCGGCGUACAGAGGGAGGAGGGCGCUAGGGCCGGCAACGUACAGAGGGAGGAAGGGGCUAGAACCAGCGGCGUACAGAGGGAGGUGGACGCCGGCGUGGAGACGGGGAGCGGAGGGCGUAGUCGCGGUUUUCGGAAAAUGCAGUGCCUAGGCUCUCUGACCUCCGGCUAGAACGGCCACUCCUCUGCCACCGCCGCGGCUGCUCGGCGGGGGGAACCGCGGCAACGGCGACCCGUGGCUCUGUUUCCUCACCACCUACGGUUACGGAGCUCCGGACGGAGUUCAUGUCUAGUAGUCGCCGUUUAUAAGUUAGUUGUAUGUUGGUGACUCCCCUAGGUAGCCACCAUAAGGAUAACGAGAGCGUCAGAGAUGUAAAGUAGGAAAAAAAACCUAAAACGCUAUAAAAGUUUAUCCUCUACCCGUUGUUACGAAAAAGAGGUACGAUCGUUAUACUUACUACUUCCUCUUCUCGUUGCUUGUGUUUAGAAGGGGUGCCGAUAACUAAAAUACGUGUAGCCGACGUAGUACACUAUACCAUUUGGUUGUCUCCAUAUACCUAUUAGGUUUGACGAAUAAAAAGCAGGCUGUGGCGGGGUGGAAGUCACUGGACUAACGAUCGUUUUACAGUGUUGUCCAAACAAAGCUUCAUAGUCAAGUUUUAUACUGCUAACUUAUUUUUUUGUGAUAGAAUAAAAACAGAGUGCCUAGUAUGAAAUUUCAAUUAUUAAAAAUAUUACGAGACAUUAUCUCAGCACAACCAACACAUUAAGAACUCACUCAAUGUACAAGAGAGGUAGUGGGGGAAAUAAAAAACGUUUAGUUAACGGAAGAAGUACACAAAGUCGACGAUCCUGACUUCCGGCUUCAUUAUAGUAUACUGUGUCAUCGGUACCUGUGGUGUAGUCGAACCCUUGUACCGGUGUUGUCUAACCAUAGAAGAGAAGACUUUAACCAACGUAUGAACGGUUUCCAGCGUACUGAGUCGUCGGUACCUGCGGUGUAGACGAACCCUUACACCGGCGUUGUCUAACCAUAAACAACCUACCGUUGAGAUUCGACGUACGUACAAGUAACCCUCUUAGUACUACUUAGAAACUACUUGUGACAGUUUCUACUUUUCCGCUUAAGAAGCUAAGGGACCCAACAGUCCCUAAAACAUGAAGGUCGUCCAAAAGAUCCACUUACAACCGUAGGGGUACACCAAACCAAUACGUAGAUACGUAACGAAAACGAGACAGUACCUCAUGAUUGACACCUCCAAGUCCAAAUGUUAGAAUCUUUACGUCACUAACUACACAAAAGAUUAGCAUUACGUCGUUUGUUUAACAAAACGUUCAAUACAUGAAAUUAAUAGACAUAGAAUGGUAAGAAUGGUUCAUGACAGUUUACAUGUCGAACUAAAACAUAUACAUAAAGGGAGUCAAAGAACAUCCAAGGACGUAUUCUCCAGUAAUAACGUCUCAACCUCUGACUGUGAUACAAAUAGUCAUGUACGAUAACCUUAAGGGUUGUUUGAACUGUCCUACCUAGUCAGUGUGCAACCAAUGUAGUUCAGAAGAUUUCCAUAGGGCAUUAGAUAAUUAGUUCUACAAACGUAUUGAUUUAUUACAACAUCACUGACUUGCUAAUGGACUAUUUAAUUCAAGUCAUUCAUAUAGUAAAUGUCAUCGUAGAAUAAGAAUACACUACAUUAUAUACUAGUAUACCUAACGUCAUAAACUAUCGAGGUUUUAUUGAAGUUCUAAAACGGUGCACGAGAGUUUGUUAGCAUCAGGCUUUUAAACCACCGGUCAACGACGAUAGAGAUGAGACGAAGCAGGAAAGCAUUACCGUUAUUCUUUAGAACUAACGACGGCUGUACUUUAAGAUUGACUUAAAGAAUAAGUCGCCCGUUUAGGUUGUAGAAAAACAUGACAUAAACGUACAAGGUCCUAUUAAACCACCGUUUUCUCGAUGCAGCAAAGAGUGAUCUGGUUGUCUGUUAUCAUCACUAUGGAAACGUAAAUAUAUCAUGGUAUAAAUGAGUAGACAUAUGUGACAAGUAAAGUAAGGAGUGUGGUGUUCAUAGAUUGCCGGCCUAUCCAGGUCAGGUCGGCUCUGUGUAUAUAAGGUCAGGUUGUAUGAGGGAGGUAGGUUUUUUCGAACAGGGUUCGAAAAAGCCUACCUCCCUUAUAUAUCAGGUCAGUGUGUACGAGAUUGCACUAAAGUGCUCUCUGUCAAUCCGGUCGUUGCCAUAGGCAUUUCUUAUCGCUGUCGAUUUCCUUUGGUAAGUCGUCCAUUCUUACUCUAUCUGAAAAGUCACGGUCCGUUGGUAACGCGACAUCUCUUCACCUUGUUGUAAGUACCAUGACGAUAACAAUUAGCUUUCUUGAAAGAAAACAAUUGUACCAUGGGUGAUUGCACACGUAUACGUAAAAAGAGGACAUCAGGAUCUCCCUAUUUCUGUGUAUAUUAAUGCUACCUCCACUGUCCGGACUUUUAUAGAUAAAAAAAUUAGAACUUCCGUCAUGCUCUCCGGGAUUACUGUAUAUAUGUCAUGAUUGUUCUUAUACCCCCGAAAGUAUUGAACUCCAUAAAUGGAUCUAGGAACUCUACGAUAAGCAUAACCGGACUUACGUCAACUUAAGACUUAGUAUUUGUUCGACCCUCUAAACAGAAGGUGUAUAAAAAUCACGUACGAGCCUCUUGUUCUAUUCUCCUCUCCGAACUUAGAACUCUACUGUUCCCAUCAGUGGAAGACGCUGAUUUCCUUCCUCCAGUUACUUCGUUUUCCGUGCUUUUCCUUCCUCGUCGCGGUGUCCCUGCUACAACAGCCGUCGCGAAACCUUCCUAAGCGAGGUCUCUUCAAUGCCAUCAGCCGGUAGCGGGUCCCCUUCGCCCCUCCUACAGCAAGCUUUGCGGACCCAGAUCUCCUCACACAAGUCCACCACGGGCUCCUACCGCUGCUCGUUAACCCAACCCGUAAACAGUUGCACUACCACAGCAACGAGUUCCAUGGUUGUGGGAACAAAACUGGGUUACAAAGAGCCGAUCGACACGUACCGACCUUGACAAACCACGUAUAUCCCCUGCCGAGUACGGUAAGUGAAGGUUUCGUUAUUCUGAACUUUCCUCUUUUAUAACCGUUUUUCAGGGAGUUUCAAGCAUCAGACCCACAUCUUCCAAACCCCUAAAACUCGGCCUACCCGGUAACUAUCAACGCCAACCGAACCUAUCCCUUACAUCUCUAUCAUUCACUUCUCCUCGUCCUCUUGCUUCUGCUUCUUCUUAUUACCAAAUAUCCGUCUUUUUUUAAUUCUUACAACGAAUUACACGUACUCCUAGGUUUGUUACAUAUAAACUGUGCUAAUUUUAACUGAGUACAGCUCGGAGUCCCACCACCACCUCGCCAGUACCACCUGCCAAUAACACGUUCUUAAACAAUUUGCGUAGUUUAUCUAUAAUUAAACAUUGUUUAAAAAUCAAGCUAGUAGCGUGAUAUACAUACGUAACAGUUUAACGGAAAAUAAUUGUCAAAUGUUACAUUCAAUUCACCUGAAUUUAAUAAUGAGCUAAUAUGG
rnacentral:rRNA from 1 species